GGGAGUCGGAUCGUUUACUUUGAAAAAAUCAGAGUGUUUCAAGCAGGCAGCUCGCUCUUGCAUGGAUUAGCAUGGGAUAAUGAAAUAGGACUUUGGUGCUAUUUUGUUGGUUUCGAACACCGAAGUAAUGAUUAACAGGGACAGUCAGGGGCACUCGUAUUCCGCCGAGAGAGGUGAAAUUCUCAGACCAGCGGAAGACGAACCACUGCGAAAGCAUUUGCCAGGGAUGUUUUCACUGAUCAAGAACGAAAGUUAGGGGAUCGAAGACGAUCAGAUACCGUCGUAGUCUUAACCAUAAACCAUGCCGACUAGGGAUCGGCGGAAGUCCUUUUCUGACUCCGUCGGCACCUUAAGGGAAACUAUAGUCUUUGGGUUCCGGGGGGAGUAUGGUCGCAAGGCUGAAACUUAAAGGAAUUGACGGAAGGGCACCACCAGGAGUGGAGCCUGCGGCUUAAUUUGACUCAACACGGGGAAACUUACCAGGUCCAGACAUUGUGAGGAUUGACAG
rnacentral:rRNA from 1 species